rnacentral:rRNA from 1 species
UACGUAGGGUGCGAGCGUUAAUCGGAAUUACUGGGCGUAAAGUGUGCGCAGGCGGUUUCGCAAGUCAAGUGUGAAAGCCCCGGGCUUAACCUGGGAAUGGCAUUUGGGACUGCAAGGCUGGAGUGUGGCAGAGGAGACUGGAAUUCCUGGUGUAGCAGUGAAAUGCGUAGAUAUCAGGAGGAAUACCGAUGGCGAAGGCAGGUCUCUGGGCUGACACUGACGCUCAUGCACGAAAGCGUGGGGAGCAAACAGG